CCAUCUGUGAGUUUUUUGAGAGUGUCUUAUAUCUAAAACUCCUUCUCCUACUUCUCAUCUUUGGAAGAGUCCAAAUCAAGAAGAAGGAGACAUCUGAUUGACCAUCGAAGAAGGAUCAGCAUAGUACCAGCAUACUGUACUGAUUUCUUGGACCAGAACUUCUGAUUGUGAUUCGUGGACUUGUGUGGAUGACUCCUAGAGGUC
rnacentral:lncRNA from 1 species